rnacentral:rRNA from 1 species
UACAGAGGGGGCAAGCGUUGUUCGGAAUUACUGGGCGUAAAGGGCGCGUAGGCGGCCUUCUAAGUCGAACGUGAAAUCCCCGGGCUCAACCCGGGAACUGCGUCCGAUACUGGAAGGCUUGAAUCCGGGAGAGGGAUGUGGAAUUCCAGGUGUAGCGGUGAAAUGCGUAGAUAUCUGGAGGAACACCGGUGGCGAAGGCGGCUUCCUGGACCUGUUCUGACACUGAGGAGCGAAAGCGUGGGGAGCGAUCCGG